rnacentral:rRNA from 1 species
AUUGAACGCUGGCGGCAUGGCUAAAACAUGCAAGUCGAACGCCUGUAGCAAUACAGGAGUGGCGAAAGGGCGAGGAAUAGAUUCCUAUGUACCUCAAGGUCGGGGAUACCCCGGAGAAAUCCGGAUCAAUACCCGAUGUGGUCGAGAGAUCAAAGGUUUACCGCCUUGAGAGCAGGGAAUCUCCUAUCAGGUAGUUGGUGAGGUAAUGGCUCACCAAGCCGAAGACGGGUAGCGGGUGUGAGAGCACGGCCCGCCGCAUCGAGACUGAGACACUGCUCGGACUCCUACGGGAGGCUGCAGUAACGAAUCUUCCGCAAUGCGCGAAAGCGUGACGGGGCAAUGCCGCGUGCAGGAUGAAGCCCUCGGGGUGUAAACUGCUGUCAGGGUGCAGGAAUGAAAUGACCAUACCCAAAGGAAGACACCGGCUAACUCUGUGCCAGCAGCCGCGGUAAGGAUGAGACGU